rnacentral:rRNA from 1 species
AUUCCAGCUCCAAUAGCGUAUAUUAAAGUUGUUGCGGUUAAAAAGCUCGUAGUUGGAUUUCUGCCGAGGACGACCGGUCCGCCCUCUGGGUGCGUAUCUGGCUCGGCCUGGGCAUCUUCUUGGAGAACGUAUCUGCACUUGACUGUGUGGUGCGGUAUCCAGGACUUUUACUUUGAGGAAAUUAGAGUGUUUCAAGCAGGCACACGCCUUGAAUACAUUAGCAUGGAAUAAUAAGAUAGGACCUUGGUUCUAUUUUGUUGGUUUCUAGAGCUGAGGUAAUGAUUAAUAGGGAUAGUUGGGGGUAUUCAUAUUUAAUUGUCAGAGGUGAAAUUCUUGGAUUUAUGAAAGAUGAACUCAUGCGAAAGCAUUUACCAAGGAUGUUUUCAUCG